rfam:Paenibacillus wynnii strain DSM 18334 unitig_2, whole genome shotgun sequence.
AAGCACAACAACACAAAUAUUCGUAUAAUUUCAGGGAUUGGCCUGAAAGUUUCUACGAGGUCACCGUAAUGACCUGGCUACGAUUAAGAAGAGGAUUCCU